rnacentral:tRNA from 1 species
GCCGCUGUAGCUCAGCCUGGUUAGAGCGCUACGCUCAUAACGUAGAGGUCACGGGUUCAGAUAUCCCAGAGGGAGACCACAAACCCUCUUGGUUUGAGAGUCCCGCCAGCGGCA